GACAGAGGAUGCAAGCGUUAUCCGGAAUGAUUGGGCGUAAAGCGUCUGUAGGUGGCUUUUAAGUCCGCCGUCAAUCCCAGGCUCAACCCUGGACAGGCGGUGGAAACUACCAAGCUGGAGUAUGGUAGGGUAGAGGGAAUUUCCAGUGGAGCGGUGAAAUGCGUAGAUAUUGGAAAGACCACCAACGGCGAAAGCACUCUGCUGGCCGACACUGACACUGAGAGACGAAAGCUAGGGAGCGAAUGG
rnacentral:rRNA from 1 species